rnacentral:rRNA from 1 species
CUACGGGGGGCUGCAGUGGGGAAUAUUGGACAAUGGGGGAAACCCUGAUCCAGCAAUGCCGCGUGUGUGAAGAAGGCCUGCGGGUUGUAAAGCACUUUCGGUUGGGAGGACUGCUUCUAGCACUAAUAUUGUUGGAAGUUGACGUUACCUUCAGAAGAAGCACCGGCUAACUCCGUGCCAGCAGCCGCGGUAAUACGGAGGGUGCAUGCGUUAAUCGGAAUUACUGGGCGUAAAUCGCGCGUAGGCGGCUAGAUCAGUCGGGUGUGAAAGCCCCGGGCUUAACCUGGGAACUGCAUCCGAUACUGUCUAGCUUGAGUACAGGAGAGGGGAGUGGAAUUCCACAUGUAGCGGUGAAAUGCGUAGAUAUGUGGAGGAACACCAAUGGCGAAGGCAGCUCUCUGGCCUGAUACUGACGCUGAGGUGCGAAAGCGUGGGGAGCAAACAGGAUUAGAUACCCGGGUAGUC